GUUGUUUUAGUGGAUAAAUCGAAAUAUCAUGGUAUAAUUUGCAUUUUUCACUUUAGUCACACUGAUACUGAAUUUUCAAAUGUAUCGUUUAAAACACAAUCUAGUUUUUGUUCAGUGGCGUAUAUCGACGUUUAGGCUACUUGUAGUGUUUUUUUUUGUUUUUUUUUUUUGUUGGUGCUUUUAACAAUUUUGUUGAGUACACAUUAACCAUUUUGAAGAAGUCAAUGUGAAUCUUGAAUAACAUUUUCAUAAACAAGAGAAUAUGAAAGGUAAUUCUAAAUAACCCCUGACAGAUAACGGGCGUCGUCAUUGGGAGAACAAAGAUUAUAAUCCGUAUCCUAACUAGGCACGGAAUAUCCUAACUAGGCACGGAAUCUUGUCAAACAACUAUUGGUACAUGUAGGAAGGAGUACUGU
rnacentral:lncRNA from 1 species